UAUAAUGUUUGGACUCUCCGUAUUAUUUGAAAUUUUUUUACGAUUAAUAUUUUUAUUCUUGAUAGAUGAUAAAACAUGAAUAGUAUUUUAUGCGUGACUAAUUUUUUAAGUAUUUUACAAAUUUUUUUAAAUAAGAUGAAUGGUCAAACGUUUGGAACGGAAA
rnacentral:pre_miRNA from 1 species